CAAUUAUUAUUAUGAUGUAGCCUCCCAUGUAUCCGUAGUAUAUCGAGCUAGUGUAUCUGAUCUGACAUUGGUGUCAUUGGUCCGUAUUAAUCAUACUUUAGUUUGCAAUUUCAUCGUGUCUGCAUCAUUUUUUUCAGUUUUAGUUUGGUGUAAUGUCAAUCAAAAUCUUAUUGUAGUCUGUUGUCCGGAUCUUCAUAUGAAACAUUUUAAGAUAAAAGUAAAAAAUCACGAGAAC
rnacentral:lncRNA from 1 species